ACCUGAAGAUACCUUCCCGCGUAGUGCUCACACAGAUUGUCUGAUGAAAAAUGUAACGGAGCAGAAAAACCUCUACAGGCUUGUAGCUCAGGUGAGUUAGAGCGCACCCCUGAUAAGGGUCAGGUCGGUGGUUCAAGUCCACUCAGGCCUACCAAAUUUGCACUCAUGCGGCGUUAUGCACUCGGUCGUUUACCGAAGUAAACUUCCCUCCUGCAUGCCUUGCCUGAGCACAAAGUUACAUUUCUUAUUUGGAAUGUAAUGGUAGUAAAAAGGUUUCUGUAAGACUGUAUGGGGCUAUAGCUCAGCUGGGGAGAGCGCCUGCCUUGCACGCAGGAGGUCAGCGGUUCGAUCCCGCUUAGCUCCACCAUACUGUUUUUCUAAAUAAAAUACUUCAGAGUGUGCUGGAUAACAGCAUGCUGCGAAGUAUUAUGCUCUUUAACAAUCCGGAACAAGCUGAAAAUUGAAACGACGCGCCGUAUUCAUUCUCCGUAAUAAGAAUGAAACUAACGAUGCGUUCGAGUCUCUCAAAUGCUCACAACAGCAUGCUGUCCUUCGGGACGCUUGUGGGUUGUGA
rnacentral:misc_RNA from 1 species